UCACACUUGACAGGCAGGACAUCAUGGC
rnacentral:piRNA from 1 species